UAAGACGAAGGUGGCAAGCGUUGUUCGGAUUCACUGGGCAUAAAGGGCGCGUAGGCGGUUCGGUAAGCGGCGUGUGAAAGCCCCUGGCUCAACCAGGGAAGUGCACGCCGGACUGCCGUUCUAGAGGGUGGUAGGGGGGACUGGAACUCUCGGUGGAGCGGUGAAAUGCGUAGAUAUCGAGAGGAACACCGGUGGCGAAGGCGAGUCCCUGGUCCACUUCUGACGCUGAGGCGCGAAAGCGUGGGUAGCAAACAGG
rnacentral:rRNA from 1 species